CCCUAGCCCCGAUAGAAACGACAUCCUUUUUUGUUAUUGCGAGGGCUGAAAAAGUUCAACAGAUUGCCUCACUUUGUUCGCAAUAACAAAAAAGAUAUAGUGGAUAGCGGGAUUAAGC
rnacentral:sRNA from 1 species